GUGCCAGCAGCCGCGGUAAGACAGAGGAGGCAAGCGUUGUCCGGACUUACUGGGCGUAAAGCGUCCGCAGGUGGUCGUGCAAGUGCCGUGUGAAAGCGCUCGGCUUAACUGAGCGAGGCCAGGGCAGACUGCACAACUCGAGGUCGGGAGAGGUCGGUGGAAUUGCCGGUGUAGUGGUGAAAUGCGUAGAGAUCGGCAGGAACACCCAAGGGGAAGCCAGCCGACUGGCCCGCACCUGACACUCAGGGACGACAGCGUGGGGAGCGAACCGGAUUAGAUACCCUCGUAGUCC
rnacentral:rRNA from 1 species